UGGCAUUCUGGCACUGCUGCUGUUCCCUUAAGACAGGGAGAAGUGGAGACAGAGAAAUUUGUCAUUGCCUUCACAAGAAAAAACAGGGAUGUGCUUGUGACUUUUUUACAUCAGCAAUCAUACAAGGGAUUAAAGGUAAUGGUGCAGCAAUUCUAAGUGACAGAGGUCAUUUGGAUAGCAGCUCCUUAAAAUAUUACACAACUCACACUAAGAAAAUGCCAUCUGGUCAACUAGAAAGGACUCAGGACUCUAAGAAUAACAGUAUUACAAACAGAAGGAAAUUGAAGCCUAUUAUCUUAAAAAAUAUAAUUCUUACUGCCUCUGGUGAUAAGAAAUACACCUAAAAUUCAUAAUAUGCAUAGUGGAAAGCAAAAGGAUAAUGUGGACAAUAAAUUUAUGGGUAUCUAUCAGGAUAUAUUUUUGAACAAAUGAACGAAAGAAGGCAGAAAUAUGAAAUAUGAUGGAAAGUAUGGUGAAUGUGUGAAUUUUAAAAAUGGCAAUCUGAUUUCCAUGGAAAUGUGCUUCUGGUCUCAAAUGGCCACGUCAGUAUCAAGGGUUAUCUCAUAGUUUCGUAUUUCCCCAAUGACUAGUAAUACCAGGAUCUUUUCAUGUAUGUAUUGGCCAUCUGUUUACCUCUUUUGAGCCACUGGAAAAAAAUUGCUGGUUUCUUAUGUCAGACUUCAAGAUAAAAAGAAGCAUUGGUGUUUACAGGACUCAAACUCAGGACCUCGUGCAUGUCAGGCAGUUGCUGUGUUGCUAAGCCAUACCCAUGUUCCCUCUGACUGAUUCUUAAAUUUAACUAGUAUAUGAUUAAACUCUGUGUUUGGAUAGCUUCA